rnacentral:rRNA from 1 species
AUUGAACGCUGGCGGCAGGCCUAACACAUGCAAGUCGAGCGGAUGAAGGGAGCUUGCUCCUGGAUUCAGCGGCGGACGGGUGAGUAAUGCCUAGGAAUCUGCCUGGUAGUGGGGGAUAACGUCCGGAAACGGGCGCUAAUACCGCAUACGUCCUGAGGGAGAAAGUGGGGGAUCUUCGGACCUCACGCUAUCAGAUGAGCCUAGGUCGUAUUAGCUAGUUGGUGGGGUAAAGGCCUACCAAGGCGACGAUCCGUAACUGGUCUGAGAGGAUGAUCAGUCACACUGGAACUGAGACACGGUCCAGACUCCUACGGGAGGCAGCAGUGGGGAAUAUUGGACAAUGGGCGAAAGCCUGAUCCAGCCAUGCCGCGUGUGUGAAGAAGGUCUUCGGAUUGUAAAGCACUUUAAGUUGGGAGGAAGGGAAGUAAGUUAAUACCUUGCUGUUUUGACGUUACCAACAGAAUAAGCACCGGCUAACUUCGUG